GAUGAACGCUGGCGGCGUGCUUAACACAUGCAAGUCGAACGGGAAUUAUUUUAUUGAAACUUCGGUCGAUUUAAUUUAAUUCUAGUGGCGGACGGGUGAGUAACGCGUGGGUACCCUGCCUUAUACAGGGGGAUAACAGUCAGAAAUGGCUGCUAAUACCGCAUAAGCGCACAGAGCUGCAUGGCUCAGUGUGAAAAACUCCGGUGGUAUAAGAUGGACCCGCGUUGGAUUAGCUGGUUGGUGGGGUAACGGCCCACCAAGGCGACGAUCCAUAGCCGGCCUGAGAGGGUGAACGGCCACAUUGGGACUGAGACACGGCCCAGACUCCUACGGGAGGCAGCAGUGGGGAAUAUUGCACAAUGGGGGAAACCCUGAUGCAGCGACGCCGCGUGAAGGAAGAAGUAUCUCGGUAUGUAAACUUCUAUCAGCAGGGAAGAUAGUGACGGUACCUGACUAAGAAGCCCCGGCUAACUACGUG
rnacentral:rRNA from 1 species